rnacentral:rRNA from 1 species
AUGAAGGGGAGCGCUGCGUACACAAUUGCUGUUUUUUCAAUUGGGUGCCUUCUUAUGGUUGGACAAUGUCGUCGUGAGCCCGAGAGCACCUACAAAGAUGACCAUGCCAACACGACCACGCUGGUCUCCUCACCUGAUGAGAGCAAACUUACCUUGAAAUUUUGUCUCGAUAGAGAUUGUAAGACCAAAGGUGAAAACUUUAGAACCUGGUGGGCGAAAUGCAUAUGCUGCGUCACUCUGCCAGGCGUACCGUGUUAUGAUUCCUAUGAAGAGUGUCAAAGAAAUUGCCCAAGUAUACCGCAGCCCAUACUUGGAAAUACGGGUGGGCGUUAA